UUAGUUCUUAUGUAUCUUACAAAUUUGAAAAGCCAUAGGGUGGAAGCAAAAAAGGUGGUGGAGCAAAUUGAAGAGGAUUUGGAGUUAGAAAGGCAACUCAAGAUACUGAAUGUCCCUCCUCUCAAGACCAUUAGGAUAUGUUAUCUAUACUUUAAGAUCUCCAUUGAAGACCUGUGCAAGCCUAGAUGGUUUUCUUUUCUUGUGCCUUAAACCUAGAAACAUAUGGAACAAAAAGAAACAAAGAAAACAAGAAAACAUGGUUAGAGCAUUGGAAGUUUGAUCUUUCUUGGUAAAUUUUUUUUUUCUUCAUGUAGACAAAAGAGGGUGAUAUCCUUGAUUGUGUUGAUUUCUACAAGCAACCUUCUUUGUGUCAGCCAUUGUUUAGAGAUUAUAAAACCCAGAUGAAACCUACUUUUUUCCCUAAGGGAGAGACAAAUAAAACUUCGUCAGGACCUGGACCUAUGCAAAUUACUUUUAGGCACAAGAAAUGUCCCCCAGGAACAGUUCCCAUUUGAAGGACUUCAAAAGACGAUCUUUUAAGGGCUAAAGCUUUAUCAAGAGAAUUCACUACCAAUAUCAGGCAAAUCAAUAGGCACUUCCCUGGACAAAAAAUUGUGGAUGUCAAUAUGGAACAAGCAGAUGGACCAAUUCGUGGAGCUUCUGCAACCAUCAAUGUAUAAUCCAACUGUAUCAGAUUCACAGUAUACAAAUGCUCAAAUUUGGAUUAAUGGUGGUCCAAAUGAAACAAUCCAAAUGAA